rnacentral:rRNA from 1 species
UACGGAGGGUGCGAGCGUUGUCCGGAAUCACUGGGCGUAAAGGGCGCGUAGGCGGCCUGGCAAGUCGAUGGUGAAAGCCCGAGGCUCAACUUCGGGUCGGCCACUGAUACUGCUAGGCUUGAGUCGACUAGAGGCAGAUGGAAUUCCGGGUGUAGCGGUGGAAUGCGUAGAGAUCCGGAAGAACACCGGUGGCGAAGGCGGUGGUCUGGGCCGGCACUGACGCUGAGGAGCGAAAGCGUGGGUAGCAAACAGG